GACGAACCAUGUUGUCAUUUAUUUGGUGUUGUGGGGAAUCAGGACUGUUACUUUGAAAAAAUUAGAGCGUUUAAAGCAGGCUCACGCUUGAAUACAUUAGCAUGGAAUAAUGAAAUAGGACGUUUGAUUCUAUUUUGUUGGUUUCUAGGAUCGACGUAAUGAUUAAUAGGGAUAGUUGGGGGCAUUAGUAUUCAAUUGUCAGAGGUGAAAUUCUUGGAUUUAUUGAAGACUAACUACUGCGAAAGCAUUUGCCAAGGAUGUUUUCAUUAAUCAAGAACGAAAGUUAGGGGAUCGAAGACGAUCAGAUACCGUCGUAGUCUUAACCAUAAACUAUGCCGACUAGGGAUCGGAUGAUGUUAAUUUUUUAAUGACUCAUUCGGCGCCUUACG
rnacentral:rRNA from 1 species